UACAGAGGUCUCAAGCGUUGUUCGGAUUCAUUGGGCGUAAAGGGUGUGUAGGUGGCGCCGUAAGUCGGGUGUGAAAUUUCGGAGCUUAACUCCGAAACUGCAUUCGAUACUGCGGUGCUUGAGGACUGGAGAGGGGACUGGAAUUCAUGGUGUAGCAGUGAAAUGCGUAGAGAUCAUGAGGAAGACCAGUGGCGAAGGCGGGUCUCUGGACAGUUCCUGACACUGAGAAACGAAGGCCAGGGGAGCAAACGGG
rnacentral:rRNA from 1 species